GACGAACGCUGGCGGCGUGCCUAAUACAUGCAAGUCGAGCGCAGGAAGCCGUCUGAACCCUUCGGGGGGACGACGGUGGAAUGAGCGGCGGACGGGUGAGUAACACGUAAGGAACCUGCCUCAAGGAUUGGGAUAACUCCGAGAAAUCGGAGCUAAUACCGGAUAGUUCAACGGACCGCAUGGUCCGCUGAUGAAAGGCGCUCCGGCGUCCCCUUGAGAUGGCCUUGCGGUGCAUUAGCUAGUUGGUGGGGUAACGGCCCACCAAGGCGACGAUGCAUAGCCGACCUGAGAGGGUGAUCGGCCACACUGGGACUGAGACACGGCCCAGACUCCUACGGGAGGCAGCAGUAGGGAAUCUUCCACAAUGGACGAAAGUCUGAUGGAGCAACGCCGCGUGAGUGAUGAAGGUUUUCGGAUCGUAAAACUCUGUUGUAAGGGAAGAACACGUACGAGAGGGAAUGCUCGUACCUUGACGGUACCUUACGAGAAAGCCACGGCUAACUACGUGCCAGCAGCCGCCGUAA
rnacentral:rRNA from 1 species